UAUCGAUAGGUGUUCGAACUUGGAAGUUUUAAUUCUCAAUUGGAACAGAUCAAAGAAGGCCGUUAAAAUGGCUCCAAACGAUAAAUUUUGGAACAGUAUGCCAUGUAAUGAAAGCUGUCAAAUUUUUCCUAUAAAUACCGGGGCUACAGCUGUAACUUGUUCAUUCCAAUCCCGGAUAUCAAAAUUAUACAACGUAAAAAGCAAUAUAGGUUAAGCAAAAAGUUGAAUCGUUUAUUUAUAUUGUUUUUGACAUAAAACAAAAACAAUUAUUUUUUAAAAUAUAUAACUCACCAAACAAUACCUGUUCAUCUUGUCGUAUCUGUUUAUCUAGGCAAGCCCUAUCUUACGCUGAAAAAUGCAACAGCAACUGACUCAACAAUCAAAGAAACAGUCUGAUUUCCAAUGCAAACCCCAAAUCGAUGAGCGCAUACCCACAGUUGAAAACUGAAAACCCAAAUCUAAAGCCUAACACUCAAAAGCGAUCGAAUCCAAAAGAACUAUUCAUAAAUAUCACCGUAGAGGAUUGAAACCAAAACUCACUGUAUACUAAAAAUGUUCAUAGACUCAAUAAACAUUAUAUAUUUUGAUACUACCUUUAA